UAGGGAAUUUUGCGCAAUGGGGGAAACCCUGACGCAGCAACGCCGCGUGAACGAUUAAGCCCUUCGGGGUGUAAAGUUCUGUCAGUGGGGACGAAACUUGACGGUACCCACAAAGGAAGCACCGGCUAACUCCGUGCCAGCAGCCGCGGUAAUACGGAGGGUGCAAGCGUUGUCCGGAAUCAUUGGGCGUAAAGAGUUCGUAGGCGGCAUACCAAGUCUGGUGUUAAAUCCCGGGGCUCAACUCCGGUCGGGCACUGGAUACUGGUAAGCUAGAAUGAGAUAGAGGUAAAGGGAAUUCCUGGUGUAGCGGUGAAAUGCGUAGAUAUCAGGAGGAACAUCGGUGGCGAAAGCGCUUUACUGGGUCUUUAUUGACGCUGAGGAACGAAAGCCGGGGGAGCAAAUG
rnacentral:rRNA from 1 species